rnacentral:lncRNA from 1 species
UUUCAGCAUCUCAAUUUGUUCCUUCUUUGGGGUUUCAAACUUUUGGUUGAUGUAGACAAUCCCUUCACAAACCAACACUGAAGUUCCUUCUCGCCUUUAGUUGAAGAUGCUUGUAAAAUCCUGCGACCAAAAGUAUUAAUCAUCAGCUCGCCAACCAGGGGCCCCUGCACUGAGGGGUAAGAGAAAUGGAAUCUCUGGCUGAGCCUCAAUCAACAAGCCCUUCCAACUCUCCCUGCCCUGCCUGCCAAAGCCACUCCCUCACUGUGAUGAAGCAUCUGAUAGGGCCUCAGUAGUAGCUGAUCUUUCCACCUCAGCCGAGAUAUUUCUAACAGUAGAGACGCAGAAAACACACUCACACACACACACACACACACACACACACUCACUCACUCACACACUCACACUCACACACACUCACACACACUCACACACACACACUCACACACACUCACACACUCACACACACACUCACACACACACACUCACACACACACACACACACACACACACACACACAGUUCUAAGGUCGAGUUGCAGCAGCUGAUUUGUGGUUGGUCCGAAUCCAUCAUCCUUCCUUCAUGGCAAGAAUCAGUCGCUUCUGAAAGCUGCCCAUAUCAAGGCCACGAAAACUACUCAGGCCAGAAGGAAGAGGAUAAAGUGAGGAAUAAUAAAGUGGAGGAAUUCCAUGGGGACUGGAACAACCUCCAGGAAGUGAUGCAGAGCGAGAGGAGCAGAACCAGGAGAACAUUGUACACAGAGACUGAUAUACUGUCGUACAAUCAAAAGUAGAGACUUCUCUACUAGCAGCAAUGCAGUGAUCCAGAACAAUUCUGAGGGAUCUAUGAGAAAGAAUACUAUCCACAUCCAGAGAAAGAACUGUGGGAAUGGAAACCCAGAAGAAAAACAACUGCUUGAUCACAUGGUUUGAUCACCCUAGUGCAAAUAUCAAUAAUAGGGAAAUAGUCUUGGUCAAUGACACAUGUAAAACCCAGUGAAAUUGCACAUCAGCUAC